CCCACCCGAUUCUGGCAACACCCUUGUCGCCAUCGGCACCCUGCCUACCCCUAUCCCGUUGGGGCGCUUGGUGUGAUUCGGAUCGUUUGGGGCCUGCUCUGAUACCACAUUGUCACGGGACGGGAGUUCUAGCCCCGUGCGGCACCUAGGUCCCCCUUGGCCAGGGCCCCCAGGUCAGCCUCCCCCUAUCUGGCAAGCUCGCAUAAGCCCAAAUAAUAAGCAUCUUCGAGGUUUCUGGCACGUUACCUGUACAGAUUCACACUAGUUAGCUCCAUAGGGCAAGAGACAGCUUGUGACGGCCUUGCCAACUGCCAAGAAUAGGAGUGGGGAACUUCCGAACCGUUACA
rnacentral:misc_RNA from 1 species